UUUGUUUUUUAGGAGAAUUUUUUGUACAAAAAAAUUUUAUUUUUUUCAUAAACUCAUUUACAUGUAGCCAAAGUAGACUUAGGCACAACAGUUCUUCCAACCAAGUGUUAAAAAAUAAAAAUGUAAUAUAAAUCUUCGGUCCCCAAAAUCAAUGUACAGAACUUUUUACAUUUUUGGAGGACCCUGUACUAUCAGACUCGACUGUUCGCAUCCCCGGCUCCCGCUGUUGCAGUUACCCAGUUGCGGGUCUUCGUACGCGCAUAAGCCUAUGUACAGAUAACACACACAAGAAGGAAGAGAAGAGUGCCGAACCCAAACACAAUCACAAUAGCAGAGCAGAACCUUUGGUCUUGGUCCGAUGCCAAACUCCGUCAGACCGUCCGACAAUCCGACCCUCCGACCGUUCCCUCACCGACCGCUGCGGUUUAGCUACCCUGCAGACCAUUUGACACACUAAGCCAGGAGUCGUGUGUUUUUUGUACUUCUUUACGUUUUGACAAUGGCAAGCAAGUGUACCUGCUGACUGGCAAAAAAAGCAUCUGCUGUCUUUCCGUUUCAAGCCUAGCGCAGACGCGAAGACCUUGAACAGCCACUGCCAGAGGAAGACGAGCAAGAGCCGCAGCGACAAAUUUGAAGAGGAGAAGGAUCGCAUUUUGGUCAAGCUACAAAUUCUAUGGUAUAAUCAGGAAAUGCAAGCACGAAGGGAGAGGAAAGAGGAAACUGGCCGAAACCAGUUCUGCAGCUCUGAUAUCCAGAGCCUUCCAAGAGUCCAGACACCGAGUCAGACUGGGAACGGCUAUCAUGUUUCGGGCGCAUGAUUGAAAAAUCAUUGCUGGAAGCCUUGGGGAGCUUAUUCUUGGCCCGCUUCCCUCCACCUUAACUUCUCUUCCUCGUCCUGCCCUUAGCAUUGCGUGUCCUGUUCACAUUAAACUGAGUCUGGGCAUGGUCGCGGGCUGGGCCGUCUAGACAUUAAAUAAGGCAAGCUAAUUGUAUACAAUGCUCAAUCGAUGUGAUCGAUUCGAUUCGAUUUGGUUUGGUUUUGCUAAAGUUUCGCUGGAAUUGCCUGCAGCUAGCACCUUUUAUGCUAAUUUCAGUUAUUGAGCAGAGCCUAGAGUUUAAGAAAGUAUUAUAUCUCGCCUAUUCAAUUAACAGUUGGAAGGACGGUAUUUUUGUGGCCGGUAUGUUUUGUAUUUUGCUUUAUAAAACCGACGUAAAAGAAGUUUGGGAUGUUAUUGAUCACCCUAAUAUUGAGAUAUAUCCCUUUAUUGAGUUGGAAAUAAAUAUAUUCUAAACAUUUACUAUAUUCUACACCAUUCUUGAAGCCCAAAAACCAAUAAAAAAAACUCUAGAAAAUAGUCGAGAAUUCAA